rnacentral:lncRNA from 1 species
CCCCGUAUAUCACGAGGUGCAGUAUGGGUACCUGACACAAGGGUACCAGGAUCUGACUUGCCGUCGUCUCCUCGACUGAAUGCGCCGGACGACAUUCGACUGAACGCGUCAGAGGGGACCCGACUAUCGAACCUUUACCACGGUCGGUCGGCUCCCGACUCAACGGACGCGCCCGACUGACGACCUUGACUAUCAAAGGCCGAUUGAAAGUCGGGACUUGGC